rnacentral:lncRNA from 1 species
UGAAAUUUAGGAGGGAUUAUGGGGGAUUUGAAUAGUGAUUGGCUUAGGGUAUUUGAGAAGAUAAUGAGGGAGAAAUUUUAGGAGGAAAAAUAUGGAAAGUUGAGGUUGUGGAGGAGUUGUGCCGAUUUUGAACUUGGGCAUUCAGAAUUUGGCUAGGACUAAGAUAAUUCUCCCCUUCUCACUUCAGUUUCUGACUUUU